CAGCUGGUCAUGAACAGGAGGGGCCUUUAUAAAACACAGGAGUUGGGGACUACCUGAAGGCAGGCUGUAGUCACUUCCUGGGGAGAGAAAGGUGUGCUCAGGACUAUAGAGGGCAGUCUAUGCUUACUCCCUGAGAGGAAGGUGUUAGGAGGCUGGCAAACACACAGAGAGGGGAAGCCAGGUAGAUAGGAGAUGGUUCAGGGGAAUAACAGCAUAGUAUAGGGGAGUGCAAACCUUGGUUGCUGAUUAGAGGGCCUAUGGGCUGGAACCUGGAGUAGAGGGCAGGCCUGGGUUCCCCUACCAGCCAUGGGGGAUGUGGCACAGACUAGGCAGAGGACAGUGGACUGCCUAGAAUAAUUUGUCCUGGAAAGACUUUGAUACAUCCUUUCUCCCCACCCCCAACGUAGGGACCUGGCUGGAGGGCUGAAUCCCAAAGAGGAGGCUGCGGUUCCUGGGGUGAGAGGCUGAUAGGCUAGACCCCGCCAGAGGAGAGCAUGACACCUGGUCAGUACUAAUGCCCAGGGCGGGCAGGAGGAGGUGCCACUAGCAGGGAGUGGACCCCGUGACUGUCCCUUGAAUGGUUUGGGUCCUUACUUAACAAACCACUUCUCAUGACUUACUGCUGCAGCCAGUGGAAGAGCCUAGGCUGGAACCUGCUAGCUUUAAAAUAGAGGGUGCUGGUGUCAGUAUUCUCCAUUAGGGGCCCUGGCUCUGGAAUCCGCUCCAAAUCCCAUCUGAAAUAGCCUUGGAAUCUAUUGCCCGUCGGUGCACGUGUUCGCUUGAGUUGCUGUGGCGAGAUAUUUGUUUGAAACCUAUGAAAAUCAGGAAGGAUUAUCACUAAGGAUAAUGGCUGACUCCUGGGGAUCUGAACCAAAACCCCUGAUCCAAACACAGAGCUAAUUUGGGUCCCCUUUGUUUCGAGACCUGCAGAAGAGUCAGCCCAGGAAUGAGACUGUGAGAAAGGCCUAGCUGCAGACCACAGUAGGAGGCCGCCCAGGGGUACAGCAGAGGGUUUGGACAAACAGACUUCAUCUGUUUUGUACAGGGUGCCUGGGCUGGAACCUAGAGCUGAGGGCUGGCCUGUGUCCCCGUGUCGGCCCACCUAGAAGGGGUGUGUGAAGACCCUGGAAUCCAAGCUGGCAGACCCAAAAGCCUGAAGUUGGGCCAAACCUCUGGCGUGAUGCUGCUAGAGCAGUGACGUCUUGGACUCAGAUUUCCUUGGAAGGGGCAGAACUAAAGUGACCUGGCUGGAGGGCCAAGUCAUGGGAAGGGAGCACAUCACCACAGGGCCAGAGCAGCUGUCUGCAGGGGAUCCCAGAGGAGGAGAGCCGCUACAGCACACCUUCCCCACAAAGGGGCUUGCUUGCAGUGGGUAAACUCUUCUGCAUAUGCGUAACAGAGUCCUGUAUUGACAUGUAGCAGUAUCCAUUCAGGAAAAGGGCCUGGGCAUGUGGACAGCUCAAUGAAGACCUCUGCUCAAUGCGCAGCUGCAGUCAAAACAAACAAAACAAAACAAGAUCUUAAGAUUCAUAAGGAAUGGAUGGAAAAGAAAGGCAGUAUAUAUUAUAAUGCCAUUGUACAAAUGUGGUCAUUUGCCCUCAUCUGGAAUACCGUGUGCAGUAUUGCACAGGGAUAUUGCACAGUUGCAGGGGGUUCAGAGACAGACAGCAAGAAUAAUUAGGAAUAUGGAAAAAAAACUCUCCUGAAAAGAGAAGAAAAACACUGGAACUGUUUAUAUUAGAAAGGAGAUGAAUAAGAGAUGAUCUGAUAAAAGUAUGCGAUAUAAUGAAUGAUCUAGAAAGGUUGGUUGGGAAUUUCUGUCGUGUCCCUCAUCCCCGAUCUCAUCACACAAGAAUAAGGGGACAUUCAAUCAAAUUAAAGGCAGCAAAUUCUAAACUGAAAAAUUAAUUCCGCCACUGGUCUGCUGUGCAAACUUUGGUAAGUCCCUUCACUUCUCUGUGCCUCAAUUUCCAUUUAUAAAACAGGGGUGGUGAUACUGACCUCCUCUGUAAAGCACAUUCAAAUCUAGUGAUGAAAAGCUCCAUGUAAGAGCUAGGUGUCUGUACGGCUUUCAUAUCUUCAGGGACAUCUUCAGUUUUCAGAAUACAAACCCAUCUGCAUUCAUGGUGGAAGGAAAGCGAUGCUUGUGCCCCACGGGAGUUGUGAGUAGUCCUUCUUUCCAGUAACAGGCUAAAUUAAGUUUACCAAAAUGCAUUUCAUUUAGCCUCACUAAGACAGUUAUCCUGUAUUAGAUGAAUGCCCGCUGAGUAUUAAAAGGAUAUUUAUUUGAAGAUUAACUACAAGGCUGAGUAGUUUAUCCCAGUGAGGCAACUGGAUUAAUGAGCACCCAUCCUAUUAUCCCUAUUAUGUUACAAAUGAUGACCCAGUUUUCAUACUUUAUUAGUGAAUUAAAAUAAAUCUAAACUACA